ACCGGGGCGACAGCAAUAUGAAGGUCAGGCUGAAGACCUUACCCGAUUAGCUGAGAGGUGGUGCAUGGCCGUCGUCAGUUCGUACUGUGAAGCAUCCUGUUAAGUCAGGCAACGAGCGAGACCCACGUCCACAGUUGCCAGCAUACCCUCCGGGGUGAUGGGUACACUGUGGAGACCGCCGCUGCUAAAGCGGAGGAAGGAGUGGGCAACGGUAGGUCAGUAUGCCCCGAAUCUCCCGGGCUACACGCGGGCUACAAUGGUUGGUACAAUGGGCAUCUACCCCGAAAGGGGAAGGAAAUCUCCUAAACCCAUCCUUAGUUCGGAUUGUGGGCUGCAACUCGCCCACAUGAAGCUGGAAUCUGUAGUAAUCGUGUCUCAAAAUGGCACGGUGAAUACGUCCCUGCUCCUU
rnacentral:rRNA from 1 species